rnacentral:rRNA from 1 species
AGUGAACGCUGGCGGUAGGCCUAACACAUGCAAGUCGAACGGCAGCACAGUAAGAGCUUGCUCUUACGGGUGGCGAGUGGCGGACGGGUGAGGAAUACAUCGGAAUCUUCUUUUUCGUGGGGGAUAACGUAGGGAAACUUACGCUAAUACCGCAUACGACCUACGGGUGAAAGCAGGGGAUCUUCGGACCUUGCGCGAUUGAAUGAGCCGAUGUCGGAUUAGCUAGUUGGCGGGUAAAGGCCCACCAAGGCGACGAUCCGUAGCUGGUCUGAGAGGAUGAUCAGCCACACUGGAACUGAGACACGGUCCAGACUCCUACGGGAGGCAGCAGUGGGGAAUAUUGGACAAUGGGCGCAAGCCUGAUCCAGCCAUACCGCGUGGGUGAAGAAGGCCUUCGGGUUGUAAAGCCCUUUUGUUGGGAAAGAAAAGCAGCAGGUUAAUACCCCGCUGUUCUGACGGUACCCAAAGAAUAAGCACCGGCUAACUUCGUG